GGUUUUCGUAUUUUUUUGGUGGAGACGGGGUUUCGCUGUGUUGGCCGGGCUGGUCUCCAGCUCCUAGCCGCGAGUGAUCCGCCAGCCUCGGCCUCCCGGGGUGCCGGGAUUGCAGACGGAGUCUGGUUCACUCAAUGCUCAAUGGUGCCCAGGCUGGAGUGCAGUGGCGUGAUCUCGGCUCGCUACAACCUCCACCUCCCAGCCGCCUGCCUUGGCCUCCCAAAGUGCCGAGAUUGCAGCCUCUGCCCGGCCGCCACCCCGUCUGGGAAGGGAGGAGCGUCUCUGCCUGGCCGCCCAUCACCUGGGACGUGAGGAGCCCCUCUGCCUGGCUGCCCAGUCUGGAAAGUGAGGAGCGUCUCUGCCCGGCCGCCAUCCCAUCUAGGAAGUGACGAGCGCCUCUUCCCGGUCGCCAUCCCAUCUAGGAAGUGAGGAGCGUCUCUGCCCGGCCGCCCAUCGUCUGAGAUGUGGGGAGAGCCUCUGCCCCGCCGCCCCGCCUGGGAUGUGAGGAGCGCCUCUACCCGGCCGCGACCCCGUCUGGGAGGUGAGGAGCGUCUCUGCCCGGCCGCCCCGUCUGAGAAGUGAGGAGACCCUCCGCCUGGCAACCGCCCAUCUGAGAAGUGAGGAGCCCCUCCGCCCGGCAGUCACCCCGUCUGGGAAGUGAGGAGCGUCUCCGCCCAGCAGCCACCCCGUCCGGGAGGGAGGUGGGGGUCAGCCCCCGCCAGACCAGCCGCCCCGUCCAGGAGGGAGGUGGGGGGGUCAGCCCCCCGCCCGGCCAGCCGCCCCAUCCGGGAGGGAGGUGGGGGGGUCAGCCCCCUGCCCGGCCAGCCGCCCCAUCCGGGAGGUGAGGGGCGCCUCUGCCCAGCCGCCCCUACUGGGAAGUGAGGAGCCCCUCUGCCCGGCCACCACCCCGUCUGGGAGGUGUACCCAACAGCUCAUUGAGAACGGGCCAUGAUGACAAUGGCGGUUUUGUGGAAUAGAAAGGGGGAAAGGUGGGGAAAAGAUUGAGGAAUCGGAUGGUUGCUGUGUCUGUGUAGAAAGAGGUAGACAUGGGAGACUUUUCAUUUUGUUCUGUACUAAGAAAAAUUCUUAUCCUGUUGAUCUGUGACCUUACCCCCAACCCUGUGCUCUCUGAAUCAUGUGCUGUGUCCACUCAGGGUUAAAUGGAUUAAGGGCGGUGCAAGAUGUGCUUUGUUAAACAGAUGCUUGAAGGCAGCAUGCUCAUUAAGAGUCAUCACCACUCCCUAAUCUCAAGUACCCAGGGACACAAACACGGCGGAAGGCCGCAGGGUCCUCUGCCU
rnacentral:lncRNA from 1 species